AUGGCCGUCGACGGCGCCGAGCUGAUCCUCUCGGUGCCGGACGACGUCCUCGCCCUGAUCUCCGCCCACCUCCGCCCCCGCGACCUCCUCGCGCUCUCCGCCGCCUCGCGCCGCCUCUACGCCGCCCUAUCCGCCUCCGACAAGUCGUGGCUCGCCCAGUGCCGCCGCCUCCUCCCCUCCUCCCUGUCCAACCUCCUCGCCUGGCGGGCCGCCGCCGGGGGCUCCUCCCUCACCGUAUGCCGCUUCCUCCACUCUGUGUCCCCGCUCCAAGGCCUCUGGGCGCACCAGAACCCCGAGCUCGGCAACCUCGUCACCGCGCUCCCGGGCUUCUUUUCCCUCGUCGCCGUCCGCGCCAUCCCCCAGGAGCUCUCCCCGCGCCUCCUCUGGGCCCCCGUCUUCGAAAUCCUCGCCGACGCCGAUGGACGCCCCGCGUUCCUCUUCCUCCACGGCCACCACCCCGGCUCCCUCUUCCCCGGCCUCCUCGCCUCCGUCAACCCCCACGCCAACACACUCCUCCUCGAGGCGCACGCGCCUGCCUCCUCCGAGCCUUCCUCGCAGUUCUCCCGCCUCUCCUUCGGCAACCGCCGCCGGCUGCUCGACGCUCUCGUGGCCUCGUGUCGCGUCACGCUCCCGCCGGAGCUCGCUGCGGCCCCGCUCUUUGCGCGCUCCGAUGAGGACCUGCCGAUGCUCGCCGCCCGUCGUGAGGCGAUGUUGCGUUUGCACAUUGAGUCCAGCGGGGGCAUGGUGUGCAGGCCGGAGCUCGAGGCGCUGCUGGGGGCCAAGAAGGUGCCGCCGUCGCUGCCGGUGGAGAGCGCUGGUGAGAGGGUGCGGCUGCGGAGGAGUUUCUCUGCGAUGGCUGGGUACGUCAGGAACGGGCUGCGGCAGAUGGUGACGCGCUCUGCAUCAGCCAAUUCGAGGUCGGAGUACGCGGACAGCAAGCAUCUGUCAUUGGGCGAGUUCUUGCGCGCUAGUGAGAGCACCGGCCUGAGCCUCCGGGGCGCGCGGCUGCGGCUGUCGACCUACCGUGCGUGGCCGAGCAUGCACGACAACAGGUUUGCGCUCUACAAGUUGACGACGCAGGUGCCCAUGCCAGGCCGGGAAUAUGCCGGGCUGUGGCGAGGCACAUUCGGGUGGCCACCGGGGCGGCCAGACGACGAGCGCAAACCAGGGAAGGCCCUCUUCUUCCUGCUCCUCUCAUACGAGGAAGACAGCGAGGGGAAGCUUCUUCUGAUUGCAACCAAGGUGUUGGAGGGCACGCACUAUGUCGUGCAUCCGAAUGGGUCGUCCAUGUUUGUGGUGCGGGUGGGCGAAUCAUCAACAGAGGCAUUUCCAUUUCCGACCGAUGAGGAUUCCCGCAGUGUGAGCAUUGAGAGAUGCUUUGCUGGAGAGGGCAUUGCUACUGGGUACGGGUUCAGGUACCCUGGCUCAAAGCCCGGGUCACUGUUUGUUCUACGGGAUGGCCGGCUCGCCUUUGUUUGGAGAGACAACAAGUCUGUGCUCACCUUGCAAAGGCUCAACUUGGAGGAGCUGCUGAGGAAGGGGGAGCGUGUGCCCACAUUGCCACCGAUACCGAACUUCGCGUAUCUCACAAAGUCUUACUCCAAUGUGUUUGUUGCUAUCCAUGGAAGUCCCAGCUGCUCAUCUUCUCCCAGGUGA
rnacentral:rRNA from 1 species